rnacentral:rRNA from 1 species
GACGAACGCUGGCGGCGUGCUUAACACAUGCAAGUCGAACGGAAAGGCCCUGCUUUUGUGGGGUGCUCGAGUGGCGAACGGGUGAGUAACACGUGAGUAACCUGCCCUUGACUUUGGGAUAACUUCAGGAAACUGGGGCUAAUACCGGAUAGGAGCUCCUGCUGCAUGGUGGGGGUUGGAAAGUUUCGGCGGUUGGGGAUGGACUCGCGGCUUAUCAGCUUGCUGGUGGGGUAGUGGCUUACCAAGGCUUUGACGGGUAGCCGGCCUGAGAGGGUGACCGGCCACAAUGGGACUGAGAUACGGCCCAGACUCCUACGGGGGGCAGCAGUGGGGAAUAUGGCACAAUGGGCGGAAGCCUGAUGCAGCAACGCCGCGUGCGGGAUGACGGCCUUCGGGUUGUAAACCGCUUUCGCCUGUGACGAAGCGUGAGUGACGGUAAUGGGUAAAGAAGCACCGGCUAACUACGUG